rnacentral:rRNA from 1 species
GAUGAACGCUGGCGGCGUGCCUAAUACAUGCAAGUCGAGCGAACGGACGAGAAGCUUGCUUCUCUGAUGUUAUCGGCGGACGGGUGAGUAACACGUGGAUAACCUACCUAUAAGACUGGGAUAACUUCGGGAAACCGGAGCUAAUACCGGAUAAUAUUUUGAACCGCAUGGUUCAAAAGUAAAAGACGGUCUUGCUGUCACUUAUAGAUGGAUCCGCGCUGCAUUAGCUAGUUGGUAAGGUAACGGCUUACCAAGGCAACGAUGCAUAGCCGACCUGAGAGGGUGAUCGGCCCAACUGGAACUGAGACACGGUCCAGACUCCUACGGGAGGAAGCAGUAGGGAAUCUUCCGAAAUGGGCGAAAGCCUGACGGAGCAACGCCGCGUGAGUGAUGAAGGUCUUCGGAUCGUAAAACUCUGUUAUUAGGGAAGAACAUAUGUGUAAGUAAAUGUGCACAUCUUGACGGUACCUAAUCAGAAAGCCACGGCUAACUACGUG